GGUGAACGCUGGCGGCGUGCCUAACACAUGCAAGUCGAACGAAGCAACUAUCUUGCUUGCAAGAUAGUUGACUUAGUGGCGGACGGGUGAGUAACGCGUGGGUAACCUGCCUCAUACAGGGGGAUAACAGUUGGAAACGACUGCUAAGACCGCAUAACCCGCUAGUGUCGCAUGACACGGACGGAAAAAUAUUUAAUUUUAACGAGUUAAAAUUUGGUAUGAGAUGGGCCCGCGUCUGAUUAGCUAGUUGGUAAGGUAACGGCUUACCAAGGCGACGAUCAGUAGCCGACUUGAGAGAGUGAUCGGCCACAUUGGGACUGAGACACGGCCCAAACUCCUACGGGAGGCAGCAGUGGGGAAUAUUGGACAAUGGGGGAAACCCUGAUCCAGCGACGCCGCGUGAGUGAAGAAGUAUUUCGGUAUGUAAAGCUCUAUCAGCAGGGAAGAUAAUGACAGUACCUGACUAAGAAGCCCCGGCUAACUACGUGCCAGCCGCCGCGGUAA
rnacentral:rRNA from 1 species